rnacentral:tRNA from 1 species
AGCUUUAUAGUCAAUUAUGAUAUUAAAUUGCAAAUUUAAUGGUUUAUAUAAAAUUUUAAGGCUU